UAUAUAAAAAUCUUUUGUUAAGAAAAAAAAAAUCUAACCCAUGACGUGUCAGGUCAAGUUUCUGGUGUAUGUGUGUGUGCAAUGUUGAGCAUUUAAUUAAGGUUGCCUGAAUGAAAAGACAAUAAAAUCAUGGUAGUAAAAACCGUAUUGGAUGGUUGAUUUGUUAAACUCGAGACUCCAAGCUUGACUUCCAAUGGGGUUAUUAGUUUAGAUUUUAAUUUGAUAAAAGUCAUUAAAUUUCCAGUGAUUUGAAACCUGUGAAAUUGUGUCGACAAUAUUGUCAAGUUCCAACACAUUUUUCUUUGCCGCGUUUUCCCUCUAGAAAGUCUUCCUAGAGGCCUCAUCACGAAAAAUCAAACAAGAAAAAAAAUAAAUAAUAAAUUGAUAUAGAUAUGUGGAAGGUAGAAUAAAAUUAAAAAAAAAAACAUAUAAAAAAAAUUAGCAGAGAAUUGUGUUUUAUUGAUUAAAAAGAGAUUUUGUUCAGUUUUUUUAGGAGAAAGCUUGAGAGAAUAGGGUUUAAGGAUUGAAGUUGUAAUACAUGUUUUUUUUUUAAUGAUUUUUAAUAUGAUAGUAUUAAAAAUAAAUAAAUAAAAAAAUAAAUAUUAUUUUAAAAUAUUAUUAAUUAAAAAAAUACUCUUGAAAAUUCUCAUCCCCUCAUUUCCUGGAAAGAUCCAAUUCUAGACAAAAGACAAAGUCAACACCUGCCUUUGUCAACUUUCUCGAAAGCAGCAGCCGGUUGGGUAGCUUCGACGUUUCUCUCAUAUAAUACCUAACCGCCACAAAUUGCAAGAUUAGAUGGAUAUACUUCUAUCAGUAUUGUGCGAUGCAUGCCUCAAUAUCUCUUGAACCUUUAAUUUAUUAUGAAAUCUUUAAAUUACUAUUUUUUUAAUGUUAUUAAAUAUCAUGUGGAGAAGACAAUCAAAGACCAGAAAGUCUGGUUCAGAAAUGGCACAGAAGAAACGAUGUGAAAAGAAGAAGAGUAGAAGGAAACUGGUUCAAGCCACGCUGAGAACAAUGAUCUCAUGCCGUCCAUUGACUUGAACUUUUGAUGAGAAGAUGUAAGUUGGAAAAUCCCUGCAAUAUUUGACAAACUCCAAUGAAUUAUCUUUCGGGAUGCAAUAUUAUUAUCCUUCACACAUUACAGAAAGAGGAGGGUCAAUUGUUACAGAUGCAAAUUGCUUGGAACUGAUUGAAAGCGAGAGUUUAGCUACAAAUGCGCAAACAGAAACUGGCCAAACAAUCUCAAUAUGCAAUUCCUGGAAAUUGCGAAUGGAAGCAGUAGAAUCAAUGGCUUAUAUCAUGCUUGAUUAAAUAACAAAGUCUCUCUGUUUUUGUUA